rnacentral:lncRNA from 1 species
CAGCCUCAUGGCUUCUGGGGCUGCUAGCUGUGCUGUUAUCAGCCACCCAAACAAGCUCAGUUAGCAUACCUGCUCUGCUUGCCCAGGAAGCAGUCACAGCUCUGAUGGCAGCAUAAACAAGACUCUUGACUGAGUAACGAAAAUGCAUUGUCAAGAGCUGAACUAACUCCUGCUGGUGCAUUAAUUAAUACCACCACCUGGAUCUAUCAACAGCAAGACAGCCAGAUUCACACUAGGGGAUAAAAAACAAUCUGCACCUUGUCAGCCCUGCCACACUGGGAGCAGUCACAGGUCUGCAGCCCCUGGAAAGAUAAGAAGAGUGGAAAAUUAGUUCCUAUUGCCAAAUUACACUUUAUCCUGGAGGAGCAGUUACUUCCAUUCUUAUGUCAUAUAUCCUGAAUUUCUUCAUUCACUGAGAAGAUCCUGGUUUAAACAGGAUGAAAGAGCAGGAAAG